rnacentral:rRNA from 1 species
AUGGAUCGGUACCAGAGGGUGGAGAAGCCGCGGGAGGAGGUGCCCAUCAAGGAGAACGAGAUCCGCAUCACCACCCAGGGCAGGAUGCGCAACUACAUCACCUACGCCACCACCCUCUUCCAGGAUAAGGGUUGCGAUGAAGUUGUAUUCAAGGCGAUGGGAAGGGCCAUAAACAAAACUGUGAUGAUUGCAGAAUUGAUCAAGAGGAGAAUUGUGGGUCUCCAUCAAAACACUGCCACUGAAUCCACUGAUAUUACUGACACAUGGGAGCCACUGGAGGAAGGCCUACUUCCGCUUGAGACAACAAGGCAUGUGUCUAUGAUUACUAUAACUCUUUCAAAGAAGGAGCUGGACACGUCAUCUGUCGGAUACCAAUCUCCUCUGCCUGCUGACAAGGUGAAGCCGUUUGUUGAAUACGAGAAUGAAGAAGAUGCGCACUCACCUCCUGGGCGAGGAAGAGGCCGUGGCCGAGGCCGUGGAAGGGGAAUGGGAAGGGGUAGAGAUGCACGUGGGAAUGGAUACAUGGAGUAUGCUGAUGGUGGAUGGGAAAAUGAGCAUGCUCCUACCUAUGCAGGCAAUGGGUAUGCUGACCAUGGUCCAGCUUAUGAGGGUAAUGGGUAUGCUCGUGGUAGAGGCCGUGGUUUCAGGGGCCGUGGCAGAAGAGGUGGCUAUGGUGGUCAGCCUGAUUAUCAGCAUGAUGGAGGGUAUUAUGAUGAGGCACCAGCGCCACCCCGAGGUGGGGGCCGUGGUUUCAGGGGGCGUGGCAGGAGAGGCGGCUAUGGUGGUGGCCAGCCUGAUUAUCAGCAAGACGGAGGUUAUUACGAGGAGGCUCCUUUUCCUGCACCAGCUGGAGGUCGUGGUCGAGGCCGUGGCCGUGGGAGAGGCGGCCCAGCUCGGGGCAGAGGGCGCGGUGGCAAUGCCAAUGGCAACAUGGUGUAUGCCGCCGCUUCGGGCGCAUAA